AUGCUGUUCAGCUUUACAUAUGACUCUUGUCCAGUUCCACUUAUACUGCUUUAGCCCUGACCUAAAUUUUCCUCAUGCCAGGAACUGAUUCCAAAGCUCUUAAUGCUGUUUUUAAUCCCUCUCCAGUCAGUGGCUGCACAUGCUGAGGAAAGUGAGAGAAAGUGUUUCUUCCCCCGCGUACCCGUGGAAACGACAAAAGAGCCCGACACCUUGCAUCACUGACAGGGACCCCUUCCCCGAACCCACUGACAAAGAACCAGUAGCAUCAAAGAUCAGUGAUGUGGGCCCCCCAGCCCUCCUGCUCAAUGACCAAGACAACCCUGCCAGCCGAAACACCUUUAACAGGGCCAAAGCAGCUAAAAUGUCCCAGCGGCCAGUGAGGAGUGGAACGCUGGGGCUCCCGCAACGAUCACCUGAUUGUCUUCGCCAUGGCAACAGCAGCGAUGCCCGGGCAGUGAGAGCAGUAUGCCUGCUGAUGGGUGGAGCUGCUGCUACCUCUGCCCUGGGCUACCUGGGCACUAUCUCUCCCACCCCACACACCACCAACACAGCAGACUUGACCGCAGCUGGAGACCUCUCAGGACUGGGAUCAGCGGGAGCACACCACACCUGCAGCCAGGCCGCUGACACCCCAAAUUUCCACAGCUUUGACUUUGAGGGUGACUCUGACUUUGACGCAUUUGAUUGUGGGGGAUUUGCCUUCUAAAGCAUAUCUUGAUAUAUUAACUUCUUAUCAGAAGCAAAAUGCAACCCUCUUAAAUACAGCUGUGCUUUCAUAGCUUAGAUAUGAUUUAUAGAAUAAAAGUUGCCGUCACCAAGAAUGUUUUUGUGUG
rnacentral:lncRNA from 1 species